AACGCAUAUUGCACUCGAACCUUCUGGUGAGAGUAUGUCUGUCUCAGCGUCAGCACCCCCCAUCGACCCCCCCUCCCCUCUGGGGACACCGGGGCCGGACGUGGCCGUCCGAGCGACACCCCGCUCGGUCGGCUGAAGCGCAGGGCCCAACGCGGCCGGGCAGUCCUCCCUCGAUCAAAACACCGGGGCACGAGCGCCAGCGUGGUAGGCGGCUCUCCAAGCCGCACGUCGCUGGCACCCUCCGACCGGUGGAGGCGGGACCCACGGCGCGCGAGGCCGAACGACACAGAGCGUGCGGGGCUGGUGGGCUCGAUCGAGAAAUCGGCCGGGAACUGUCGACCCCCGCCGCACCUCAGCAUUCCGACCUGAGAUCAGACAAGACCACCCGCUGAACUUAA
rnacentral:misc_RNA from 1 species